rnacentral:misc_RNA from 1 species
ACAAACUUGGUCAUUUAGAGGAAGUAAAAGUCGUAACAAGGUUUCCGUAGGUGAACCUGCGGAAGGAUCAUUACGCAUAGCGAGAGCCCGAAGACAGUAGCCCUGUCGUAGGGCGCUCGCCCCGAGAAAUCGGGCUACCCUGCCUCUUGAGCACCCUUUUCGUUUCCUCGGCGGGGCCUACCCGCCAGCGAGGACCCCCCCAAAACCUCUUGUAAUGAGCAGUACUCGUCAGUAAUGAUAAUCUAUCACAACUUUCAACAAUGGAUCUCUUGGCUCUGGCAUCGAUGAAGAACGCAGC